AUUGAACGCUGGCGGCAGGCCUAACACACGCAAGUCGAGCGGAUGAAGGGAGCUUGCUCCUGGAUUCAGCGGCAGACGGGUGAGUAAUGCCUAGGAAUCUGCCUGGUAGUGGGGGAUAACGUCCGGAAACGGGCGCUAAUACCGCAUACGUCCUGAGGGAGAAAGUGGGUGAUCUUCGGACCUCACGCUAUCAGAUGAGCCUAGGUCGGAUUAGCUAGUUGGUGGGGUAAAGGCCUACCAAGGCGACGAUCCGUAACUGGUCUGAGAGGAUGAUCAGUCACACUGGAACUGAGACACGGUCCCGACUCCUACGGGAGGCAGCAGUGGGGAAUAUUGGACGAUGGGCGAAAGCCUGAUACAGCCAUGCCGCGUGUGUGAAGAAGGUCUUCGGAUUGUAAAGCACUUUAAGUUGGGAGGAAGGGCAGUAAGUUAAUACCUUACUGUUUUGACGUUACCAACAGAAUAAGCACCGGCUAACUUCGUG
rnacentral:rRNA from 1 species